CGUGCCUAACACAUGCAAGUCGAGCGGACAUACAGAAUGAAGAGAAUUCGUCAAAUCGCUGUAUGUUAGCGGCGGAUGGGUGAGGAACGCGUGGAGAACCUGCCCUUCACAGGGGGAUAACAGUUGGAAACGACUGUUAAUACCGCAUAUGCUCACAGUACCGCAUGGUACAGGGAGGAAAGCCGAGACGGUGAAGGAUGGCUCCGCGUCGGAUUAGCCAGUUGGCGGGGUAACGGCCCACCAAAGCGAUGAUCCGUAGCCGGCCUGAGAGGGCGACCGGCCACAUUGGGACUGAGACACGGCCCAAACUCCUACGGGAGGCAGCAGGUGGGGGAUAUUGCACAAUGGGGGGAAACCCUGAUGCAGCGAACCGCCGCGUGAAGGAGGAAGUGCUUCGGCAUGUAAACUUCUAUCAGCAGGGAAGAAGAUGACGGUACCUGCACAAGAAGCCCCGGCUAACUACGUGCCAGCAGCAGC
rnacentral:rRNA from 1 species